rnacentral:misc_RNA from 1 species
GAGGGAGCUUGCUCCCGCUGGAGUGCGUAGCGCUCCCGGCUUUUUUUGGGGCUGCUACGCAGCCCAGCGGGAGCAAGCUCCCUC